rnacentral:rRNA from 1 species
AACGAACGCUGGCGGCAGGCUUAACACAUGCAAGUCGAACGCCCCGCAAGGGGAGUGGCAGACGGGUGAGUAACGCAUGGGAACGUGCCCUUCGCUUCGGAAUAGCCCCGGGAAACUGGGAGUAAUACCGAAUACGCCGCAUUGGGAAAGAUUUAUCGGCGAAGGAUCGGCCCGCGUUAGAUUAGCUAGUUGGCGGUGUAAUGGACCACCAAGGCUACGAUCUAUAGCUGGUCUGAGAGGAUGAUCAGCCACACUGGGACUGAGAAACGGCCCAAACUCCUACGGGAGGCAGCAGUGGGGAAUAUUGGACAAUGGGCGCAAGCCUGAUCCAGCCAUGCCGCGUGAGUGAAGAAGGCCUUAGGGUUGUAAAACUCUUUCGCCGGAGAAGAUAAUGACGGUAUCCGGAGAAGAAGCCCCGGCUAACUUCGUGCCAGCAGCCGCCGUAAAAC